GAGUUUGAUCCUGGCUCAGAUUGAACGCUGGCGGCAGGCUUAACACACGCAAGUCGAACGGUAACAUGAGUGCUUGCACUUGAUGACGAGUGGCGGACGGGUGAGUAAUGUAUGGGGAUCUGCCGAAUGGAGGGGGACAACAGUUGGAAACGACUGCUAAUACCGCAUAAAGUUGAGAGACCAAAGCAUGGGACCUUCGGGCCAUGCGCCAUUUGAUGAACCCAUAUGGGAUUAGCUAGUUGGUAGGGUAAUGGCUUACCAAGGCGACGAUCUCUAGCUGGUCUGAGAGGAUGACCAGCCACACUGGAACUGAGACACGGUCCAGACUCCUACGGGAGGCAGCAGUGGGGAAUAUUGCACAAUGGGGGGAACCCUGAUGCAGCCAUGCCGCGUGUAUGAAGAAGGCCUUCGGGUUGUAAAGUACUUUCGGUGAUGAGGAAGGUGACGUAUCUAAUAGGUAUGUUAAUUGACGUUAAUUACAGAAGAAGCACCGGCUAACUCCGUGCCAGCAGCCGCGGUAAUACGGAGGGUGCGAGCGUUAAUCGGAAUGACUGGGCGUAAAGGGCAUGUAGGCGGAUAAUUAAGUUAGGUGUGAAAGCCCUGGGCUCAACCUAGGAAUUGCACUUAAAACUGGUUAACUAGAGUAUUGUAGAGGAAGGUAGAAUUCCACGUGUAGCGGUGAAAUGCGUAGAGAUGUGGAGGAAUACCGGUGGCGAAGGCGGCCUUCUGGACAGAUACUGACGCUGAGAUGCGAAAGCGUGGGGAGCAAACAGGAUUAGAUACCCUGGUAGUCCACGCUGUAAACGAUGUCGAUUUGGAGUUUGUUGCCUUGAGUGAUGGGCUCCGAAGCUAACGCGAUAAAUCGACCGCCUGGGGAGUACGGCCGCAAGGUUAAAACUCAAAUGAAUUGACGGGGGCCCGCACAAGCGGUGGAGCACGUGGUUUAAUUCGAUGCAACGCGAAGAACCUUACCUGGUCUUGACAUCCACAGAAUCUUGCAGAGAUGCGGGAGUGCCUUCGGGAACUGUGAGACAGGUGCUGCAUGGCUGUCGUCAGCUCGUGUUGUGAAAUGUUGGGUUAAGUCCCGCAACGAGCGCAACCCUUAUCCUUUGUUGCCAUCGGUUUGGCCGGGAACUCAAAGGAGACUGCCGUUGAUAAAGCGGAGGAAGGUGGGGACGACGUCAAGUCAUCAUGGCCCUUACGACCAGGGCUACACACGUGCUACAAUGGCGUAUACAAAGGGAGGCGA
rnacentral:rRNA from 1 species